AUACUGUGCGUCAUUCCAUGUACGUGUAAACCCUCUGACUCUGAGCCUCGGAGAUACCGUGCGUCAUUCCAUGUACGUGUAAACCCUCAGACUCUGAGCCUCGGAGAUACCAUGCGUCAUUCCAUGUUCGUGUAAACCCUCUGACUCUGAGCCUCGGAGAUACCGUGCGUCAUUCCAUGUUCGUGUAAACCCUCUGACUGUGAGCCUCGGAGAUACCGUGCGUCAUUCCAUGUACGUGUAAACCCUCUGACUCUGAGCCUCGGAGAUACCAUGCGUCAUUCCAUGUUCGUGUAAACCCUCUGACUGUGACCCUCGGAGAUACCGUGCGUCAUUCCAUGUUCGUGUAAACCCUCUGACUCUGAGCCUCGGAGAUACCGUGCGUCAUUCCAUGUACGUGUAAACCCUCUGACUGUGACCCUUGGAGAUACCGUGCGUCAUUCCAUGUUCGUGUAAACCCUCUGACUGUGAGCCUCGGAGAUACCGUGUGUCAUUCCAUGUACGUGUAAACCCUCUGACUCUGAGCCUCGGAGAUACCGUGCGUCAUUCCAUGUACGUGUAAACCCUCUGACUCUGAGCCUCGGAGAUACCGUGCGUCAUUCCAUGUUCGUGUAAACCCUCUGACUGUGACCCUCGGAGAUACCAUGCGUCAUUCCAUGUAAGUGUAAACCCUCUGACUCUGAGCCUCGGAGAUACUGUGCGUCAUUCCAUGUUCGUGUAAACCCUCUGACUCUGAG